rnacentral:rRNA from 1 species
CCUGAGAAACCCAAAAGAUCGAAUGGGGAGAUUCAACGUCAGCGCAUUUGGUAUAUGUGCAAGUUAUGAUGUUAGUUGUCCUUAUGGACAUUACUUGGCACGUGCUUGUAUCAUUUAAUUGCCGGAUGUCGUCGGCGUGCACUUCUCCCCUAGUAGGACGUCGCGACCCGUUGGGUGUCGGUUUACGGCCCGAAUGGUAGUCUUCGAUGUUCACCGUUAAAACGUGUAAUAUUGAAGACCAUCGGUGUUUUCUGACCGGCUGCCCGGCGGUAUUCGCACGGUAUUGAGCCGCAAUUUUUGCGUCAAACCCGCCGCAAGCGAGGCCAGUGUCUAACCCGGCAGUGCGGACCUAGUGCCGUCGCUGGGCCUGGCCAGCUGUUGGUUGUUGCGGUGUUCUUUGACUGGCUCUAUAUGAUAAUAUAAUUACCGGUCGGCGACGCUACUGCUUUGGGUACUUUCAGGACCCGUCUUGAAACACGGACCAAGGAGUCUAACAUGUGCGCGAGUCAUUGGGAUUUAUUUUUUUAAAACAAACCUAAAGGCGCAAUGAAAGUAAAGGUCGUCCUUGCGUCGACCGAGGGAGGAUGAGUCGCGUUACGAUGCGGCUCCGCACUCCCGGGGCGUCUCGUUCACAUUAUGCGAAGA